GCUUUACUGUAGCUUGGAAUUGAAUUCGGGUUUAUUUUGCGCAGUAUAGGUGGGAGGCAAAAACUCUGUGCUUGCGGGCAUAGAAUAGCCGAUAGUGAGAUACCACUCUAAUUAAACUAGAAUUCUAAUCUUGAUGCCGUUAUCCGGCCAAGAGACAUUUUCAGGUAGGCAGUUUGACUGGGGCGGUCGCCUCCUAAAAGGUAACGGAGGCGUGCAAAGGUUCCUUCAGACUGGUCGGAAAUCAGUCGUAGAGUGUAAAGGCAUAAGGGAGCUUGACUGCGAGACCUACAAGUCGAGCAGAGACGAAAGUCGGCCUUAGUGAUCCGACAGUGCUGAGUGGAAAGGCUGUCGCUCAACGGAUAAAAGUUA
rnacentral:rRNA from 1 species